GUGCCGGUUAACCACACACGCUCAAAUAACGACUUUGAGAAUGCAAAUUUCACAAUUGUUAUCUAGCUAAAAUCUACUUAGUGAAAGUGUUUCCUCACCAUCAUUUUCAUGAAUCAGAGAGAAACCUUAUGACACUUAGAUUUAAUGGUGUAUGUGUUCUUAUCCAUGUGAAUUGUCAAAACCAUAGUCACAAGACAAGGAUAAUGACAAAUCCAAACUCAUAUGGAUUGAACUCAAUCUUAACUUCUUGCCACCUGGCAGCUCAAGGGCCUGCCAUUGCUUCCAAGUUGUUAUGAAACCAAUUGAGAACUCUAAGAACUCAUAUGCAAAGCCAGCUUUAACUGGAAUGGACACAGAAUAUGUCAACACGAUAGGUUAUAAACCUCAAGUCGUGUGCUAGUGAAGAACUUCAGGUUUUAUUCUUGAUUAGUUCUUGAGACUUUCAUGACCUUUAAGACUCCCACUGUCCUGGUGACAUAUAAGACUCCCUUUUCAAACAUCCAAGAGAUAGUGCAGAUUCUAAUCAAGAAAAACACUUCACACAAUUGGCCUUAGUUGGUCUUUGUUUUGUCCAAAACAUCACAACUUACCAAUUUCAAAUGUACAAGAGUAGAAAACUUUAACUCUUACAUUUGACUAGUGUUAAUAAACCUACUUUAAGAUGUGUCACUCAAGUUACAAUCUUGGAGUAUAACUCUAAGAAUUGUUUUUGGAACAAAGUAUGAAUCAUCUUCUUGAAUUGUGAUAAGGUCUCUUAAUCUUUAAGAUGAUCAUAUCAUGAUACUAAAGUACUUUCCCAUCUUUUCAGAUUUGAGAAACUUUUAUCCUUCUGCCUAAUUUGAUUCUUCUUAUUCACUCUGCCAUACAUUGGAACCUUUUCCAAUGUCUCAUAAUUACACUUAAGCUUGUAAGUAUAACCAUAUUUACUGAGCUUUAGUAAAUUAUGACGAAUAGUCUUAUCGAUCUUUUGUGGUGGAAUUGAAUAGUGCACAAGGUGUGUACUCGAUCCCUUAGUCCUUUACUUGACUCACACAUCCAUGUGAACAAGUAAUUAGUCUUAAUUUUCCAAUUCUUGAAAGUACUCAUUCAUCAUACUAUACAACUUGCAUGAUUCCAAGUUUCGGUCCAAUUGAAACUUGGGUGAUGAGAAACUUUUCUUAUUUGGUAAAUUUAGACACUACCACAAAUGAAAGAAUCAAAACGAUUUUCCUAUAUUACUAGCAAUAGAAUCAUAUAAGCAAUAAUUGUUUUUCACAAAUACCAUUGUAAGGAUACUUAAAAUAAAUAAAAUCAAAAAUUUCCUUUUAUUUUAAAAGCUUUAUGGAUAAACUUAUCCUUACAAUCUAUAUAAAAACCUUGUUGUUAUAUAAUCCUAAGCAAUGUGUCAUAACUCCUAAGUAACAGCUUCAAAAUUCUGAUGCGAUCGAAGUCCAUAUUCGCGAUCAGAAGCAUCAUAUACUUCCUUUAAGCUUUCUCUCUUUUCUUUGAUUCUGAUAACAUCACCAUGUGACUCAGUCAGAUUAUGUAAUAAGAAUCUCCAAAUAGAAGCUUAACAGAGUUAGACAAUGGACUUUAGCUGAAGUAGAGUCAAACUUAUUGACGUUAACAUCCUUAGGUAAUUUUGGCAGCUUUGCAAACAGUGCCCCUUCCUUUGGAAAUUUUAACAAAUGGACCCUUUGGUAAUGGUACAUGUGACUAUCACAGACUUAGCUUUUCUCUUUAUCAUUUGGUCAACCGAUUUGACUAUGGCCGAUCCCUUUCCAUUGGGAAGAGAAUGUUUUUUUCUGGAUUUCCAGUGUCACCAUUGUCAAUGUCCAUAAAAUUUUGGGAAGUUGAUCUUCUAAUCAAAUUUGCUUUACUAGCCUUCCAAAUCAUUGUUGAUUCAGCAGUACCAAGUGAAUAGAUAAGAUCAUUAAGGGUCUUAUCAUAGUCUGUUUCAUACGAGUCCCAAAGGAACUCACUAUGUUACUUAGAAAGUGAUUGAACCACCAACUUUCUCAAUACUUUGACACCCAACUCUCCCGACUUGUCAAUAUGUGACUUCAUCUCCAAGAUGUGAGCACACCUAGACCUUGCGUUGCCAAUAGGGCUUAAAUGACCUUGAACUUGUGGGAUAGGGAGAAUAAUUGGAGGAGGUGGAGGAAGUGAAGUUCCAAGAGAUUUGGGAGGAUCGUAGAUGUCUGAACUAGACAUCUUUUGGGAGAUAUUUAAGAUAGUUGAUUAAAAGUCUUUAAUAUAACACCCAAUAUGAAAUAUUAAGGCUAGGACCCAACAACCUAUUUAUAAAUGGAAGAGGGAUGCCAUAAUCCACAUUAUAAAAUAGUUGAAGGUAGGUAAAUAACGAUUUACCAAUUUCCACCAUGAAAAACAAAAUAUAAUUAAGUUUUAAUUGGUUUUGAAACUCUUAGAUUCUUUUGAGAUUCAUUGAACUGUUCAAUGUCAUGUUUCAAUCUCGAGUGUGCCCUUCAGGUUUUGUGACUGGGAUGUCGAGGAUCACAAAAGUAACCAUGCAAAUAUACUUGGUACCCUUAAUAUUUACCCCUUAAUCGAUGUGUCAGUUAACCAAACACGCUCCACCGAUACUAUGAUAAAUAUUAAGUUACCUUUUGCCUACCUUGUUAAGUCCAGGUUAGUGUGUCGGUUAACCACACACGCUCCACUAACGGCUUAAACAAAGUGCAAAGUGUAAUUUCAUGGAUUAGCACCUUAUUCACAUUUUCCUAAGUAACUAAGAUUGGGUAUUCAUAAGAGUUUAGUAACUUAGUAUUUAUCUUUAAUACUUUUAAUGAAGGGAGAAUUAUAGUCCUUGUCCUACCCGUUCGGCUAACGACUCUCCGACAGUCAAGGAAGCGGUGGGUGAGAGUGGACACCCAUUAAACUGCCAUUUUAUAGGCAACAACCUUAUACCCCCUUAUAGACCGGCUUCGUGAAUGAGGCCUACUAUCGGUAUGACUGACUUUACUCCGAUACAUAUAUAUAAAUAUUAUUAACUUAUAAUAUUAUAAAGUAUAAGGGUUGAAUUUUAACUUUUAAAAUUCUAAGGGCUAACUUGGAAUUAAAGUAUUCAUAAUUGAAAACUUUUCCAAUUCCAAAAAUUGAGGGCAAGUUUUGAAACUAUUCAAAAACUAUUAAUUCCAUAACUUCUCUUGUUUAAAUUAGAUUUAAUUAAAAACUCUUCAAGUUCCAUAACUUUAGGACAAGUUAUGGAGUCAUAAAACCAUUUAAUGAGAACAAGACUCUUCAUUUUGUAACCUUUGCCAUCUUUUAUGAGUUUUAAGAAACUUAAAUGUGACCUUUCAUGUAACUUGAGGACAAGUUAUGGAGUCAUAAAACCAUUUAAUGAGAACAAGACUCUUCAUUUUGUAACCUUUGCCAUCUUUUAUGAGUUUUAAGAAACUUAAAUGUGACCUUUCAUGUAACUUGAGGACAAAUCACACAAACACAUUUUAGAAUCAUCUCUUAGAUUAAAAUGGAUUGAAAACACAUAAUCAAUUAACUUAUCUAUUAAUCUAAGCAACUCAUAUGAACAAGAUAAUUGGAAUCAAACUUUUUCAUGUAAUUAGCAUAACACUUAAACUAAUACAAAACAUGAAUCUAUUGACAAUUAUCUUUGAAAUUGGAUUAGUAUGAACAUUACCACAUCAAAAAUAAGUUUAUAAGUUCAAAAACAGCUUAAGGUAAUGUUCCUCGUCCAUUUCUAGCCAAAAAAUCAAAAAUAUGCUGUCUGGGGCUCCUACUCGCCGAGUGUAUGAACCUACUCGACGAGUAGGUUGAUUUUCUUCAUGGAAUCAGCGAGUUCAUCAGUGGAAUCGGCGAGUUCAUCAGUGGACUCGGCGAGUCCAGUGCCCAGAAAGCCAGAAAAUCAAUUUUUUCAGCAAUUUGCAUCAAGUAUAAUUGAAAACAAGCAUAGGCUCUGAUACCACUCUUGUGUUUUGAGCAUUCUAACACUCCUAAGUGUACAUGCAACCCUAGGUACCUUGUAUAUAUGUUUUCUCUAUUAUACAUGCAAAUAUGAACUUUCCAAGGUAUUACCCUAUCUAGCAUAUAGUAAUUGAUACUUGGGUAAUUAAAUGGAUAGAAUACAUACCUUUGUUUGAUGUAGCUUGUCUUCAUGAAGCUUGAGUGGCUAGUGCCCCAAGUGUGACACCUCAAAUCGUUUACACAACACCAUGAACUCGUGGAAUAACCUUGAGAAUAAGGAUACUUUGAUUCUCUCUAGUGAAAUCGGCUAGCCCUCUUAGUGUACCCACACUAGUGCCCAUUUCACCAACCAAGGACCUCUUUAUAUAGUGUGGAGAUUAGGGUUAGACCCUAAUACCCAUGACCUUUCAUUUCUUAUGAUCCAUGGGUUAUACACUCCACAAACUAUCCAUGAAGCUUAGCCCAACUGAAAUGAACUUGGCCCACCACACAUAUAUAUCUGUAACAGCCCGAAAUCUCAGGUAUUGUUUAAAUUAUGUUUUUGGGUGAUUUAAGAGGGGACUCGGCGAGUUGGAGCCUAGACUCGCCGAGUAGGAUCGCAGACUUGGUCGCGGGAUCGCGACUGGACUCGACGAGUCCAGGUAUGGACUCGGCGAGUCGACGCUGUUCAGCAGAAACCCUAACCGUUCAGUUUGAAUCGUAUAUAACGCCUCUUAGGCCGUCAUUUUCCGUCUUUUGAUCGAUUGAAAGGAACCCUAAUCGUUGUGGACGUCUAGAGCAGGAGAGAAAGCUAUUGGAACUUGGAGGAACUUGUUAGACAAGAAGAAGAAGAAAUUGGCCAAAGGAAUAUCAAGGAGGAUCGAGUCCUGAGGUUUGGGGGACACAGAGGGAACGUUCUCAGGUAAUACUCGGAUCAAUUCUGUUAGUUAAUGUGUUUAUGAACCUAGGGUUUAUGAAAAACCCAUUUAGUGAUUAGAUGGGUUAUUAUGUUAUUACCCAGAUGUUAUACCCACAGUAAUGAGAUGUUUAGAAGUCCAGAGAGUCCCAUGGUUGUAUAUCUUGGGACCAUACGUAAUUCAGGAAGCAGUUGCUCGUCUGCAUGGCAUGGACUCGCCGAGUUGUUCUUCAGACUCGGCGAGUAGCUUGAAGAUUUACUGGGACUCGCCGAGUUGUUCUUCAGACUCGGCGAGUGGAGUCGGGGUGGCCCCGCGAUUCUUCCAGGAGUAACUCGUCGGGUCGAGGAGGGUACUCGACGAGUAGAUAAGGAAUCUCAGAAAGUUGGAGGACGUCUAGACUCGCCGAGUCGCCAUGGUACUCGCCGAGUCCGGUCGAGUUGACCGUUGACCGUUGACCAGAGUUGACCUAAGUCUGACUUCUUAGGGAUAGUCACACUUAGAAGAGAUAAGUAUUAAUGAGUUAUGUAAUGUUAUAGGGAGGUUGUAGCUCGUCGGUUGUGCACGAGUCAUUUCAGGAGUUGCUAGCUUUCAGCAUAUACGAGGUGAGUCUUCUCACUAUACUGUACCCGGAAGGGUUUGACUGUGUGACCGGAAGGUCGGAUAUGUUAUGUGAUAUGUAUGCUAUAUGUGGUAAGUUAAUUGUUAUAUGUGCUAUGUAUGAUAUGUGGGCCGGAAGGCAAUAUGUUAUGGGCCGGAAGGCGAUUAUGUUAUGGGCCGGAAGGCGUUGUAAUGAGGACCGGAAGGUCAGGGCCUGGAAAGGCGUAUGUGCGUAAGUGUAUAUUGGGGAACUCACUAAGCAUUUAUGCUUACAGUUGUUGUGCAUGUAUUUCAGGUACUAGCGAGGACCGUGGGAAGGCGCCGGCAUGAUCGAUACACACUGAAGAUUGUUUUAUGAUCUUGGGAGUUUGAAUAAUUGUAUUGACCGAAUAAUUAAACUGUUUAUGCCUUGUUUUUAAUGGAAAUAAUUAUGUUUUAAAAAUGAAAAAUUUGUUUGAAAAAUUUGAGUUGUUACAAUUGGUAUCAGAGCCUUGGUUUGAGGGAUUCGGGUGCACCUUCGGGGGUAACUGAACUCAAACCGAGGAUUUGAGGAAACUUUUCAAAUAAAGGCAUAAACUUUUGUAAAUGGUUUUGUGGUAAGCAAGAAAGAAGCAGUGUGUACGAUCAGUCAGCGCCCGAACGGUAAAGAUCCCCAAAAUACCUUACAAUAUUAUAUGAUAUGAAUUGUUAUGCAUGCUAGAAGACUAGGUAUUCAUGAUAGGACUAGAGUGGCCUGAUUUGUGAUGCCUUAGUCUAGGGAAGUUGCUUAUAUGAGAUGCUUUGCUAGUAUGCGGGUAGAUAGAGCGUAUCAGAAGUAGAGUACUCACUAUCUGGAGUUUGGGGAGGAGGACUUGGGAUGAACAUUGAUGCGGUGUGGUCGGUAGUAUUGGGCCCGUACUACCGAGGACACCGGGUCAGUGGGAGGCCCAAGUAAGAAUCCCUGGAUAUCUGGGACUGAGUAGGGUUGCGUGUCGAGUACGAUUAUACUCGGUAGAAUCUCUGAUAGUUUUAUGUUGUAUUUCAGAGAUAUCAUGGUUAGACCGCGGCACGGGGCAAGUACGAGCGGUGUGAGUGACGAGGAUAUUCGUCAGAUGAUCCACGAGGAGGUGGCGGCGGCGAUCCGGGCUGAGAUCCCGGAGAUGUUUGGGUCUAUCAAGACCACCCUGAUGGAGACGUUCGACGAGCGGUACGCCGCAUUGACUGAGGCUGCAACCGCUGCAGCUACCGCAGCUGUGGCCGCUGCUAGGCCACAGGGGGGUGAUUCAUUGCUGUUCCGAGAGUUCAGCAACACGAAGCCACCAGAGUUCGAUGGGACGCAGGAUCCGAUUGCUGCGAUGAGGUGGAUCGCAGAUAUAGAGGGGUGCUUCUAUACUUGUUCAUGCCCGGAGCACCUGAGGGUACGGUUCGCUUUGAACCAGCUCCGUCUGGGAGCGAAGGACUGGUGGAAGUUCGUGACAGCGAAUUUCACUUUGGCAGAGACUACAGCGGUGACAUGGGAGGGGUUUACUGCCAUGUUCAGGGAUGAGUACGUUCCCCCGGUGGAGAGGGAACGAUUGGUGCAGGAGUUCUUAACCCUCAAGCAGGGUACCGAUUCUGUUGCGGUGAUUACACGGAAGUUUCAUGAGAGGGCGAUGUUUUGCCCUGAGCUGGUGUCCUCAGAGCAGGCUCGGAUGAGCCGAUACUUGGGUGUCUUGAGGAGGGAUAUUCGGGAGUUUGUGUCAAACUCCACUUACCAUACUUUUGCUGAGCUUCAGGCGAAUGCCAGGAAGCGCGAGAUCGAGUUGGAGACCCAGGCUAGGGAGGAGGCCGAGUCUCAGCGGGUGGAUCGGCGACCGGCUCAGUUCCAGCCGGCAGCCAAGCGGACCAAGUCCGCUGAUUCGAGGACAGGAGGUUCGAAGGGUCGCACUUGCGGGAAGUGCGGCAAGAGUCAUGAUGGAGUAUGUCGAUCUGGUGCUUGCUACAAGUGUGGCAAGGAGGGGCACAUUGCUAGGGAGUGCCCCAAGGGAUUUUCGGUUUGCUUUCAUUGCAACCAGACUGGCCAUAGGAAGGCCGAGUGCCCUCAGCUUCUUCAGGGAUCUGCACCUGCUGCCGGAGUUACUGCGACUCGACCGGUGAAGGCCGAGGCCCCGAGGGCUCGGGGAAGAGCCUUUCAGCUGACAGCGGAAGAGGUCCGCGCUGCGCCCGAUGUUGUGGCAGGUAUGUUGUAAUUCAUGUAAUUAUUUUAAUGUCGAUAUGUUAUGCUUAUGUUGUUAUGCGCGUAGGUACUUUCCUUGUGAACUCUGUGCCUGCCUUAGUGUUAUUUGACUCGGGUGCGAGUAGGUCCUUUGUGUCCUUGGCCUUUAGUCAGCAUAUUGGCGUUAGUCGUGAGUCGUUGAGUCGACCUUUGAGAGUCUCUAUAGCUGACGAGAAGGUGAUUUGUGCUACGGAGGUUCUUCGGGGAUGUGUACUAGAGAUUUUCGGGGUUGGAUUCCCGAUUGAUCUGAUUCCUAUCGCGAUGGGGGAUGUCUGUGUCAUCGUGGGCAUGGACUGGUUGAGCCGGUUCGGCGCUGUCAUCGACUGUGAGCGUCAGUUGGUGACUAUACGAGACCCAAGUGGGGGAGUUCUUUCGGUAUACGGCGAGGGUACCCGUUCGGGAUCAGCUUUUUGUUCGGCCGCUAGGGCGAGGCAGUGUCUACGUCAGGGCUGUAAGGGUUUCGUGGCGUAUGUGAUGGAUACGCGGGAGGUUUCUGAGAAACCGAAGUCAGUUGAGGAAGUUCCGGUGGUGCGCGAGUUUUCAGAUGUCUUUCCCGAGGAGUUGCCGGGAGUACCGCCUGUGAGGCAAGUAGAGUUUAGUAUCGAUCUGGUUCCGGGGGCAGCGCCUAUUGCUAAAGUGCCCUAUCGUCUUGCACCUCCAGAGAUGCAAGAGUUGUCCUCGCAACUCCAGGAGUUGCUGGGAAAGGGAUUCAUUCGGCCGAGCAGCUCGCCAUGGGGAGCACCUAUUCUGUUCGUCAAGAAGAAGGAUGGUUCACACCGGAUGUGCAUUGAUUACCGGGAGUUGAACAAGCUAACGGUCAAGAACCGUUACCCGUUGCCGAGGAUCGAUGAUUUAUUCGAUCAGUUGCAGGGAGCAUCUUGGUUUUCCAAGAUCGAUCUGAGGUCAGGAUACCAUCAGGUGAGAGUACGGGAUGAAGACGUCCAGAAGACAGCGUUUAGGACGCGAUAUGGGCAUUAUGAGUUUGUGGUGAUGCCUUUUGGACUCACCAAUGCCCCGGCUGUGUUCAUGGAUCUCAUGAACAGGGUAUGCAGGCCGAUGUUGGAUCGGUCGGUGAUCGUAUUUAUCGACGACAUUCUGGUGUAUUCGAGAUCGAGAGAGCAGCAUGAGGAGCAUUUGAGGGAGGUCCUUGAGGUAUUGAGGUCGGAGAAACUUUAUGCAAAGUUCUCCAAAUGUGACUUCUGGUUGCGGGAGGUCCAGUUUCUAGGACAUGUGGUUAAUCAGAAAGGGAUAUUGGUCGAUCCGGCCAAGGUUGAGGCGGUGAUGAGUUGGGAGGUGCCGAAGUCACCCUCUGAGAUCAGAAGUUUCCUUGGGUUGGCAGGGUAUUAUCGGAGAUUUAUCAAGGAUUUCUCCAAGAUCGCAGUGCCACUCACCAGAUUGACCCGGAAGGGUGUUACGUUCUCAUGGGGGCCCGAGCAGCAGACCUCCUUUGAGACACUUCGCCAAAGAUUGUGCGAAGCCCCGGUAUUAGCUCUUCCAGAAGGGAUGGAAGAUUUCGUGGUAUAUUGCGACGCAUCGAUUUCGGGAUUGGGUGCAGUGUUAAUGCAGAGGGGUCAUGUGAUAGCUUAUGCGUCGAGGCAGCUGAAGCCUCAUGAGGCGAGAUAUCCCACGCAUGAUUUAGAGUUGGGGGCAGUAGUGUUCGCUCUCAAGAUUUGGCGUCACUACUUGUAUGGGGUUCGAUGUACGAUAUACACGGACCAUAAGAGUUUGAAGUAUUUGAUGGAUCAACCCAACCUAAAUAUGCGUCAGAGGAGGUGGUUGGAUGUGGUCAAGGAUUAUGAUUGUGAGAUCCUGUACCACCCAGGCAAGGCUAAUGUGGUAGCCGAUGCAUUGAGUCGCAGGGCGGAGAGCACUCCAUUGCGAGACGUAUGCUUGAGACUGACUGUGAUGACUCCAGUAUUGGACGCCAUUCGUGGGGCCCAGGCGGAGGCCGUGCGACCAGAAAUGCAGAAGAAAGAGCGGGUUGUGGGGUUAAUCUCAGAGUUUGUCAAGGAUAGUCGAGGCCUUAUGACGUUUCAGGGUCGGAUUUGGGUACCGUUCGUGGGCGGUACGCGUAUUACGUUGAUGGAAGAGGCUCAUAGAUCGAAAUUCUCGAUCCAUCCCGGUGCUACAAAGAUGUAUUUGGAUUUAAAGAAGGAAUAUUGGUGGCCCUGUAUGAAGAGGGACGUGGCAUGGUUCGUUGAGAGGUGCUUGACCUGCCGUAGGGUUAAGGCUGAGCAUCAGAGACCGCAUGGCAAGUUACAGCCAUUGGAGAUCCCCGAGUGGAAGUGGGAACAGAUUACUAUGGAUUUUAUCACCAAAUUGCCGAGGACUGCUAGGGGAGUAGACGCAAUUUGGGUGAUCGUGGAUAGGUUGACAAAGAGUGCACACUUCCUUGCCAUCAGUGAGAGUUCUUCGGCGGAGAAAUUGGCGGAGAUAUACGUGAGAGAGGUGGUAUCUCGGCACGGGGUGCCGAUCUCGAUUGUGUCAGACCGUGAUGUGCGCUUUACUUCCAGAUUCUGGAAGAAAUUCCAUGAGGAGCUGGGUACUAAAUUGCAUUUUAGUACCGCAUACCAUCCCCAGACAGACGGUCAGAGCGAGCGGACAAUUCAGACACUGGAGGACAUGCUCCGAGCGUGUGUGUUAGACUUCGGGGGUAGUUGGGAUGCGUAUUUACCAUUGGCAGAGUUUUCCUACAACAACAGCCAUCAUUCGAGCAUUGGUAUGCCGCCUUUCGAGCUGUUGUAUGGUAGGAGGUGUCGGACUCCCAUUUGCUGGGGAGAGGUGGGACAGAGAGUGAUGGGCAGCACGGAGAUCAUACUCCAGACGACAGAGCAGAUUCAACAAGUGAGACAAAGAUUAUUGACUGCCCAGAGCCGACAGAAGAGUUAUGCAGACAGGCGCCGAUCCGAGCUUGAAUUUCAAGUCGGCGACUUCGUUCUCCUGAAGGUCUCUCCUUGGAAAGGAGUGAUUCGGUUCAGGAAGAGAGGCAAGUUGGGGCCCCGGUAUAUUGGGCCAUUUCGUGUGAUUGCAAGGAUAGGUCGGGUAGCCUACCGGUUGGAGUUGCCAGCGGAGUUGGGUCAGAUCCAUGACACUUUUCAUGUGUCGCAGUUGAGGAAGUGCAUAGCCGAUGAGUCGGCAGUGGUUCCAUUGGAGGAUAUUCAGGUGGAUGCGAGCCUGAAUUACGCGGAGAGACCAGUGGCUAUCAGGGAUCGGAAGAUCAAGGUUCUGAGGAACAAGGAAGUACCUCUGGUGUUGGUUCAAUGGCAACACCGUAAGGGAUCAGAAAUGACUUGGGAACCGGAGCGCGAAAUGCGGGAGCAGCAUCCGGAACUAUUUGCAGAGUGAGACUUCGAGGGCGAAGUCUAAUCCAAGUGGGGGAGAAUUGUAACAGCCCGGAAUCUCAGGUAUUAUUAAAAUUAUGUUUUUGGGGUGAUUUAAGAGGGGACUCGGCGAGUUGGAGCCUAGACUCGCCGAGUAGGAUCGCAGACUUGGUCGCGGGUCCGCGACUGGACUCGACGAGUCCAGAUAUGGACUCGGCGAGUCGACGCUGUUCAGCAGAAACCCUAACCGUUCAGUUUGGAUCGUAUUUAACGCCUCUUAGGCCGUCAUUUUCAGUCUUUUGGUCGAUUGAGAAGAACCCUAAUCGCUGUGGACGUCUAGAGCAGGAGAGAAAGCUUUUGGAACUUGGAAGAAUUGGUUAGGCAAGAAGAAGAGGGAUUUGGCUAAAGGAAUAUCAAGGAGGAUUGAGUCCUGAGAUUUGGGGGACACAGAGAGUGCGUUUUCAGGUAAUACUCGGACCAAAUCUGUUAUUUUGAUGUAUUUAUGAAAUUAGGGUUUAUAGAACCCAUUUAGUGAUUUGAUGAAGUAAUGCCUUGUUACCCCACGACUAUAGUCUUGUAUUAGGACCUUUAGAGGUCCAGAAGGUCCCAUGCAUGUGUACUUCGGGACGAGACCUAUCUCAGGAAGCAGUUACUCGUCUGCAUGGCAUGGACUCGCCGAGUUGUUCUUCAGACUCGGCGAGUAGCUUGAAGAUUUACUGGGACUCGCCGAGUUGUUCUUCAGACUCGGCGAGUGGAGUCGGGGUGGCCCCGCGAUUCUUUCAAGGGUAACUCGUCGGGUCGAGGAGGGUACUCGACGAGUAGAUAAGGAAUCUCAGAAAGUUGGAGGACGUCUAGACUCGCCGAGUCGCCAUGGUACUCGCCGAGUCCGGUCGAGCUGACCGUUGACCGUUGACCAGAGUUGACCUAAGUCUGACUUCUUAGGGAUAGUCACCCUUAGAAGUUAUAAGUGUUAAUGAGAUAUGUGAUGUUAUAGGAAGGUUGUAGCUCGUCGGAUUGUGCACGAGUGAUUUCAGGAGUUGCUAGCUUUCAGCAUUUACGAGGUGAGUCUUCUCACUAUACUGUACCCGGAAGGGUUUGACUGUGUGACCGGAAGGUCGGAUAUGUUAUGUGAUAUGUAUGCUAUAUGUGGUAAGUUAAUUGUUAUAUGUGCUAUGUAUGAUAUGUGGGCCGGAAGGCAAUAUGUUAUGGGCCGGAAGGCGAUUAUGUUAUGGGCCGGAAGGCGUUGUAAUGAGGACCGGAAGGUCAGGGCCUGGAAAGGCGUAUGUGCGUAAGUGUAUAUUGGGGAACUCACUAAGCAUUUAUGCUUACAGUUGUUGUGCAUGUAUUUCAGGUACUAGCGAGGACCGUGGGAAGGCGCCGGCAUGAUCGAUACACACUGAAGAUUGUCUUUAUGAUCUUGGGAUUUUGAAUAAUUGUAUUUGACAGAAUAAUUAAUCUAUUUAUGCCUUGUUUAAAAUGGAAACAAUUAUGUUUUUAAAAUGAAAAAUUUGUUUGAAAAAUUUGAGUUGUUACAAUAUCUAAGAGUCCAUAUUUAAUUAGUUCCUUUUGAUCACUUAAUUAAUUAUAAAUUAAUUAUUGAGCAAUAAUAAUUAAAUAAUAUGAUUAUAUAUUAAUAUAUUAGAACUUAUAAUAUAUUAAUGUAAAAUCACUAGCAUCCUUUUUUCCUCAUCUUGUUUAUCCAAUUCUCCCAAUGCCAUGCAACCCAAAUGGACCAUGUCGGGUCGGGUCAAGUCUUACCAAUUAUAGUUAUGGACUUAGACAUUAAUCCAACAAAGGUUUCCUUCACAAUGUCAACUAAUUCUUUAGCAUGCAAAAAAUCAUCUAUUUUAAAAAUUCCAUAAGUAAACCUAUUAUCAGGAACUUUUUUAAACUCAACUAUAGUCUUUUCACAAUCAUAUAACACACAAUCAAUAUUUUCUCUUUCAAAGGAUAAGAAUGGUAAUAACUUCCUAUGUUGCUCUUUGCUUAUAUAAGAAGAGUGAUGUAAAGCAGUUAACUUUGUAUAUAGUCUCUUAGCUGGAUUACAAUAAAUGUUUCUUUAAGCUAACAACAUUCAAACAUCAUUAUCCAAAUUGUACCUAUCACACAUGAGAUUAGUUAUUUGUAACUCUAGAUAUUCUACUUUCAUUUUCUUCGAAUCCAACUACUUCUGUGUCCCUAGUAACAGUGUACUAGAUUUCUUAGUCUCAUUGCUUGCAGAGAUAACCAAAUUAUCAAAAUAAGCAACAAUGUCAUCAAAAGCAGUUAAUUCAGAAUCAUAAGAAUUCAAAGGAAUAUUAAAUGACUGAAUUAUAGAACGUACCUUUGUGGUCAUUGGUGAUUUGUCUCCACUUUUUUGUCAUCAAGCAAUGACCAGUAACAUUCUCUUCAUCUUCUUCCUCAAACUAUGCAUAUAUUGCACCAUGCAUAGGAUUACGCAUUUCUUCAUUGUCUGAUCUUGACGAGCAGAUUUGAUAUGUUCCAUCUUCAUCUCCUUUUCCUCUUACCACCAAUGACAUAACUUUUGCUUUUGCUCUCACCUCUUCUAGACAUUCGACAUAACAUGCUUCGUCUUUGAUCAUAUUCUUUUUUUUCCACUUUCUUUCGAAGCAUGCAAUCACUUGCCAUGUGAUUUGCGCCAUGACAAUCGUGACAAUCGACACGAGAAUCACCUUUGAGCUUCUUUUCAUCUUUUGAAUCUUCAUACUUUGAUUCUUUUAUUUUGAACUUCUUCUUCUCAUUCACUUUUACAACAAAAAUCACUUUCACCUCACCAGUCCUUACUUUCGAACUAAAUGGCUUUUUUUUAAAAUUUCUUCACUUUGUUAUUAAAGUAAAAAGCAAUGGCUUCAUCAUCAGAGUUAAAAAUCAAGCCUUCGUCAUCAGAACUCUCUUUUUCAGUAUCUUCUUUCUCAUAUACUUUUGAGACUAAAGCAAGUGUUCCUCCCAAGCUUAUCUUUGAUUCUUCAGCAAUUUCAAUAACUUCUGGCUCAUGAGUUUUUGGCAAAUUGUAAAGAUCAUUCAGAGUUGAUGUAUCAAAACUCUAUUGAUUUUUCACCAUUAGACUCACAUUUUUCCAUUCUUUCCAUACUCCAUAACAAAAGUGAGAUGAAACUCCAUGGUUGACCUUGUUAUUCCAUUGCGAUUGCAUUUUGUAGAUUAGUUCAUAAUAAAGUUCGAUAGAUUCACCUUCCUUUUGCUUGAACUCUUUCAAUUCCACCAAAUAAUGCUUCACAUAAUUGAUUUUUGUCUUUUCACUCCCUUGAAACAUCUGUACGAGAGUAUUCCAGAUUUCUUUUGCAGAUUUACAACUACGAAUGUAGUUAUAAACAAUAGGAGGAAGAGAACCAGGAAGCUCUUUCGUACACCUUUUCUCAUUCUUCUUCAGCCUUGUUGAUUGACCAGAAACACUUAUAGUUGAAGCAGAUGAACCAAUGAUUUGAAAAUUUGUUGGAGGAACAACAUUUCCUGAAAUACAAUCCCAAGGCUCCUCAUCGAGUCCAUUCAAGUAGUCUUCCAUGCGAUCAGCCCGCUAAUCAUAAUACUCAUGAAUAAGCAUAGGAAUCUUUGUUGAUGAUCCUAGAAAAUGAGAAAAAGACGUCAUCGUGUUCAUAUUGAAAUUCGCCAUUGAUGUACGGUUGAAUUAUCAGAAAAACUUCAGAAAUUUGAUAAUUUGUGGAUGAAUUGAUCAGAAAAGCAAGCAGAACACUCGAUUAAACAAACUAGUUGCAGAAUCGAAUCAUAACUGAAGAUGAGAGAUGAUUUUUAGUAUCAAAAGUGUGGAAACUUUUGAAUCCAAGACGAAACUGAAAAUACGAUUAACACAAGAUGAAAAUCAGAUCAUUGUAGUAUGAUUCAUGCUCUGAUACCAAAUGUAGUAGCUAUUUAAUCGAAUAAUGAAAUGAGAUCAGAGUUGAAAUGAAUUAAGAACACCGAGAGUAAAUAUAAUCUUGUUUCAACUCAUAUUAUGCUUUCACAAUACAAAGAUUUUUAGACAGAAGUGUAACAAAAGUUCUAUCUAACUAUUGUAUCCGUCCCUAUUUAUAGGAGAAUAGAUAUCACACAAAAAAUACAAGGGAUAAACAUUAAACUUUUGAAAUCACAAUGCCUUUGUAAUAACAUUACACCACGUAAUGUAUACAACAUAACCUUGAACACCUUACAACAUACAUCGACUCUUACACUAUCAUGGUGAAUUAAUGGCAUCUAUGUUCAACACUAUCAUCUCACUAAAAUCGAUUCUACCCUUUCAUUGAAAGCGAUCUUUUACUUCACCGACGAACAUCGUUUCAACUCAUCAUGGACGAGGAUUCAGUCUAUAUCAAUUGCAAAUCUUGUCGGAAAAUUCAUAAAAAUUACUCUAGAAGGUAUAUUCUAUUGCUAUUCAUUUCUGAUUAUCUCUUUUAAAUAAUUUUAAACAUGAAAAUCUUUUAUUAUAAAUUUCCAAACCUAAAAUCUAAAUUAUCAGUUACAUUAUCUAUUCGACGAACCUGUGAACAUGAUUUUAUAAACAAAAUCAUUUUACAUUAAUUCCAAACCCUAGAAUGAUCAACUUUUGUGAGUUUGUAUAAAUACCGAAAACCUAAUGGUUUAAAUUUCUUCAAAUUGAUACAGAAAUCAUGAAUAUCUAAAUUAUAAUCCAUAAUUUCCAAAGACUUUGUGAAUCUAACUAGUUUCUAAGUUUAUUCAUUAAGUCGAAACCAACCCUAAUUUCAUGAACUUUUGAUAUUUUGUAUAAAUAUUGAAAAUAUAAUGAUUUAAAUUUCUUCAAAUCGAUACAAAUAUCAUGAAUAUCUAAUUUACAAACCGUAGUUUCCUAAAACAUAGUUAAUCUAACUUGAUUAUGAGUUUAUUCAUUAAAAUGAAAAACUAGUUUUACAUGUCAAUUUCUAAUAAUUCAAUCUUUGUGAGUAUAAAAUUUUUUGAUAAUUCACAAAGUGAACUAGGAUUACAGAUCAAUUUAACAUAACAUUGAUUCACAUUGGGAAUUCAUCGUGUAAUUUAUGAUUUACAUUUUUUUCUUUCAUCAUAUGCGAAUUCACAUUGUGCAUAUCUGCUUGAUCGAACUUGUCUCGAUUAUUGUACUUCACAUUGUAAAUUUAUAAAGAGCUGAAUUGGUGAUGUUUUAAUUCACAAUGUAAUUUACGAUUUGAAUCAAUGUUAUGUUAAAGUGAUCUAUAAUAUCAUUUCACAUUGUGAAUUUCAUUGUAAGUUAUAUGUAUAAAUCAUAACUUUCAUAUCAUGAAACUCAUGUUUGACUUGCUCUGUUAAUCAAAAACAUGAAAUGAAGAAAAGAAGAAUGAAAAAAAAGAAUAAUAAGAAAAGAAUGAAAUCCAGGAGAAAUGUGAAAGAUAUUCAACCUUUAUUUAUAAGUGAAAAGAGUGAAGAUAUCCAAUAUAAAAGAAAACAGGUUAGAACAUUCCCAUUGAGACUAAAAAAACUAAUUUAUCUAAUAAUAUACAACAUACUUAUUGAAAUUCACUUGAUAAGCCUUGACCAGUAUUGGUUUGAAAUGCAAAGAUUCACAUUGUGAAUCUUCGAUGUAUCUCACAGUCUUAAAGAUUCAUAAUGUGAAUUUUCUAAAUUUUUUUUAUAAUUUGCUUAUCCCUUUCACUUCAUUUCACUAUGGACAUAAUUCAUGAAAAGACUCACCGUGCGUAUGUGUACCUCACAUAGUGAGGUCCUAAGCACGACGUGUUUGAGGUCAUGUACAUGUUCGAAGAUUGGUUCUUUGAUUUAUUCCGAUCCAACAAAUUUACAUUCAAGAGAGAAAGGCUCAGAAGUACUAUUUACAACCAUUACAUGAGAAGUCCAAGCUUGACCACACAAGUUUUAGAAUUUCAUCUCGCCACUACUACCGAAGGGGAGUCUAUUCCAAUUCUCUCUUUAAUUAUAUGUUCUUUAUUAUUUAUGUAUGCAAUGGGGACAUUUCAUCAUUUAAGCAUGGGGUAGGGGUUGAAUAUACGAAUACAAUCAUUCUGAUAAAAAUUGAAAAAACAAUGACUAGGAUUUAAAAAACAAAUAGAUUUGAAACAAUAAAGUGAAAUUAGUUAAUAAUUUUUAUGUUGACAUAUAAGUUGCUAGUGUUGUGUGGGUGGAUCUGAUGCAAGAUUCAGUGUUUAUUUGAGCCAAUAUAUAUUACAGUGUAUUUGUGGCUUCCCUAUCCCAGUGAAAUCAUGGAACAAAAACACGGCCUUGCUAAGUUUCAGUGUUUAGUUGAGCCAAUAUAUAUUACAUCGUAUACCAGAAAUACAUCUAGGAGAGCUUAUGUAGUCAUUGCACUUAGACUAAUACCUCUAACAAAUAACGGUUGAAGUUAAGUUCCCUGGAUUAAGCAUAUGUUUUUAUAGGACUUUUAGUUUUGAUAGAAAUAGAAAAAAAAAUAGAAAAAUGAAAAAAAAGUUGCAAAAGUUGAAAGAAUAAGAGUCUACAAAGUUAUGAAGAUCAAGAAAUAUCAUGAAGAAAAGCUCCAAAUUAUUGAUGGCUGAAGAAAAGGAGAAAUUUUCCAUGUUAUUUAUUGUAUUUUUAUUUUCUAGGUUAUUUUUCCAUAUGUAUGCUUGGGGAUUUAACCAAAAAUACCUUUAGGUUAAGAAAGUUUUAUAGGAAUGGAUUCGGAGGGAUGCAUAAAAUAAGUGUUGUUCAAAAGAAGUGGGCAAGUCUUUAGGAAGAUUGUAAGUAUUUAGGAUUAGGGAAGUUCUUAGAAAAAAUAUAGACAUAAAUACAUGCAUUGCGGUCUUAGAGUAACGGAGAGGCUCAAAAUAGAUUCUCUUGGGUGAUGUUGGUAACUAAAGUCUUGAUACAAUGAUAAUAAAAUCAGUUUUGCUUCGGGGCAAGCAAAAGCCAAGUGCGGGAUAUUUUGAUAUGUGUAUAUUUAACUACAUAUUUAAUGCAUAUUUCUAAUACUUUUAGCUACAAUUAUGCUUUGUAUGGAACAAAAGAUACUUAUUAUGUCUAAAAUAUGUUUUGCUGAGGCAAAAGACUUGCUCGAGAUAAAAAAAAAGCUAAAACAUGUCGUGGUGACAUAGCCACAAUGUGGCGAGUGGGAUAUUCACGAUCAUCAUGCUAACUUGGCAGACACGAGAUUUAAACGAAGAUGACGCAUUGUGCAAAAUGGAACAAAGGUAAAUAAGAGUAAGCCUACUAAUUUAAAAAGAAUACCCAGGAUAAUCACUUCAAAACCAUGUUGAGUAUACGAAUAGCAUGGGAUUAGCUUCAAAAUCUGGUUUAACACAAACAAAAUUUGGGAGAAAAACGAAAGUUUAUAAAAUUGAUGAAUGAUCAUCCAAAUUACAUAAGUUACACAUAAAUAUGGAGUGUAAUAUAAAACGGAUCUCUAAACUACCUUGGGCUAAACCCAAACCAAAAAAUAAUGAAAAGGCCACAAAAUUUUCUAUAACUCCAUUUAUAAAGCGAUUUAUGGUUAGGUCCCCAUCGGGGACUUAUCUUGAGAUGCCCCUUGUUCGAAGCUUCAAUUUGACUGGUCGUAGGCCCAUAACCGCGUCCUGUAGGAAAAGUUAUGGCCAUUUUUAUGAAGCCCUCUUUGUCACUCGGCCAUGGGCCUCUAGGAACAUAAGGGCCCUAUCCUCCACACUAAGGCUCACAUCAUCCUCUCCCGGGUAGAAAAGAUUCGACCUCGAAUGUGCACCGUGCUCAUCAUAUGAAGAAUGCCCAUGAAAAGGAAGCAAAUGUUUUACAUUAAAGACAUCAGCCAACGAAUGUGACUUGCAAAAUUCAGAUGGUAAGCAUUGGAAUUGAUCUUAUCCGCAAUAUCCAUGUGUCUAAUCUUCUUGGAUGACAACGUUUUGUACUCACCAACCGAAAAAUAAUCCUUAGUCAAAAAAGCCCAAACAAAGUAACCCAACUCAAAAUCAACUUCCCUAAGUUUCUUAUGACAACCAUGUUGUCCCACCAUGAAAUCCGACACUUUUUUUGGAACAAGACUAGAAACAUAAAAUGUCAUCAAGUCAAGUGGUCCCUAUUAUUAGGUAGAUUACACCACCUAAAAUAAACAAAAUCGUGUACUUCUGUUAACAACAUGAUCAUGAGCGAACUCAUCUUGACAUAGUUUUUGAUCCCAGGUCUUCACAUGUUCACCCACUAGACACCGCAAAAGGUUACCAAGGGAUUGAUUGACAACCUCUAUUUUCCCAUCCAUUUUAGGAUGAUAGGCACCGCUAAAACUGAGUUGGGUGUCCACCAUUUUCCACAAGCUAUGCCAAAAUUGACACAAAAAACUAGUGUCUCGAUCUCAACCAAUAAAAGAUAGUUAUCCAUGAAAAAAGAUAAAUAUCACGAAAGAAUAACCGAGCUAUGUCAACUGCAUCUGUCGUCUUUUUGCAAGGAAUAACAUGCACCAUCUUAGAAAAAGAUCAACAACAAGAAAGAUUGAAUCAUUACCCCGUUGUGCAUGUGUAAAUCCCAACACAAAAUCCUUGUUGAUAUCCCAUGGUUAUGAUGGAAUAGGUGAAGGCGUAUAGAUCUCAGCAUUUGUGGUUGUGCCCUUUGAAACCUGGCACAUUCUGUACCGUUUAACAUAUCGAUCCACCUCCUUGCAUAUGGUAGGACAAAAAUAAGAUUAUUUCACCAAUUGUAAAAUGCGAUGUUGGCAGACAUGACGUUCCCCAUGAAACUCCUUGAUGAUUUGAAGGCCGAGACUAGAAGUUGGGAUACAAAACUGAUUCCCUUUGAAAAGAAAACCUUUCUACACUAGAAAAUCAUAUCUCUAUCCAGAUUGUAUACCCUGAAGAAUAACAAAAAAGAUCAACCGUAAGCUGCUCCAUUAGGACAUCCAACCCCGACACACCAACUCUCAUGGAAAGUAGAAAAUUACUUCUUCUGCUCAAAGCAUCAUCCACCCUAUUCGAUAUUCCAGACUUGUGAUAACUUUUAUAAGAACGACAUCCACCUCCAACAGUUAUGUGACACCUUAUCUUGACUGCGAAUAUGUCUUAACAAAUCAUGGUCUAUAAACAAAAUAAACUCCUUAUGAAACAGAUAAUGGUGCCAAUGCUUUAUAGCUUCGACCACUGGAUAUAAUUCAACAUUGUAAGUGCUAUAACGUAGCUUUGUCCCUGUCAACUUCUCACUAAAAUAGGCAAUAGUUCGUCUUGCUUGACUUAGAAUUGCUCCAAUUCGAACCUUGGAAGCAUCCGUGUGUAAUUCAAAAACUUCAGCAAAAUCAGGUAAUACAAGGAUUAGUGCUGUGGUAAGCUUCUCUUUCACCAAUAGGAAAGUUGAUUAUGUCGCUAGAGACCAAGCGAAAGUCUUCCCUUUCAUACAAUAAGUCACUGGUGCCAUAAUAGAACUGAAAUUUUGAAUGAACCGCCUACAGAAUGAAGCAAGACAAUUAAAGCUUCGAACUUCAGCGAUGGUAGAUGAAGUUGGGCAUUGUUUGACAUCCACCACUUUCGACUUGUCCACCUGUAUUCCUUCACCAGAAACAAUAUACCCCAAGAAAGGGAUCUUAGGGGCCAUGAACACACACCUAUUCACAGCUAAAUACAGACUAUCUUAUCGAAGUACAGCCAAAACUUGCUUCACAUGGCUGACAUGUUCAGAAAAAGUAACACUAUAAUUAAGUAUGUCAUCAAAAUAGACAACUACAAAUUUAACAAUAAAGGGCCUAAACAACUGGUUCAUCACACACAUAAAUGUACUAGGAUGAUUUCAUAAACUAAAAGGCAUCACAAACCACUCAUACAAUCCUUCCCGAGUAAUUAAGGCAGUUUUCCACACAUCCCCAUGUCUAAGUCGAAUAUGGUUGUACACACUACUCAAGUACAUAUUGGAUAAGGUGUCUAAGUCCAUAAAUAUAUUUGGUAUGUACUUGACCUGACCCGGCAUUGUCCAUUUGGGUUGCAUGGCAUCAUGCAUUUGGAUAGACUAAAUGAGAGAAAUAACACUUGUGGCUUAUUAAUAUAUUAUAAGUUCUAAUAUAUUGAUAGUAUUAUUUAAUUACUAUUGAUCAAGAAUUAAUUAAGUGAUCAAAAUAUGACUAAUUAAAUAUAUGGGUUGAUUAUGUAAUCAUCCAUAACUUGUAUAGUGGGCUAAAUGCUCCAUGGAUUAUCAAGUUGGGCUAAGGUCUAUUGGAUGCUCCAUGAGAGUUACAAACCCAUGGGUCAUGGAAAUGAAGAGCCAUGUUACCUUAGGGUUUACAUGGUGUAACCCUAAUUGUAACACACUAUAUAAAGGAUAUGAAGCUCACCAAAAUCAGCACUAGAAGCAAGAUAGAGAGGGCAUGCCGAUUUUGCAAGUGUUCUACAUUCUCUCAAAGUUAUUCCAAAACAUUUGGUGUUGUGUAAACCAUUUGGGGGCAUCACACUUGGGGUGCUAGGCUCUCAAGGUUUUCAAGGAAUAAAAACAACUACAAGGUAGGUAAUUCUGGCCAUCCUUUAUGAUAAAAGUUCCCCCUGUAUGCUAGAUAGGAUUAUUAAUCUUGGAAAUCAAAUUUUGCAUGUAUUUUAGACAAACAUAGAUCCAAGGUUUUCUAGGGUUGCAUGUACACUUAGGAGUGUUAGAAUGCUCAUAACCCAUCAGUGGUAUCAGAGCCUAGGCUUGUUUGUUAAUAUUGUUGGGAUUUGAGCAUUCUAACACUUCCUAAGUGUACAUGCAACCCUAAUAACCUUGGAUCUAUGUUUGUCUAAUUAUCAUACAAAGUUGAUUUCCAAGGCUAUUAUCCUAUCUAGCAUACAUGGGGAACAAUUCUUAACUUGAAUAAUAGAUAGAAUUACAUACCUUGUUGUGGUAAGUGUUCCUUGAAACCUUGUGAGCCUAGCACCUCAAGUGUGAUGCCUUAAAUGCUUCACACAACACCAAAUGCAAAGUAUAAACUUGAGAGAAUACUCUAACACACUCAAAGUCGGCCAAGCCCUCUUGUUUCUCUAGUGUAGCCGAUUUUGGGGAGAGACCUGGUCCUUAUAAAGUGUGUUGCAUUAGGUAAAACCCUAAUGUAAAAUGACUCUUCAUUUCUCAAUCCAUGGGUUAACUCCAUGGAGCAUCCAUGGAGCAUCCUAUGGGUGGAACCCAACUUGAUAAUCCAUGGAGCCUUUUAGCCCACUAUAUAAGAUAUGGAAGAUUUACAUAAUCUACCCAUAUAUUUAAUUAGUUAUUCUUUUGAUCUCUUAAUUAAUUCUAAAUUAAUUCUUGAUCAAAACUAAUUAAAUAAUAUUAUUAAUAUAUUAGAACUUAUAAUAUAUUAAUAAACCAUAUGUGUUAUUUCUCUCAUUUAGUUUAUCCAAUUGCAUGGUGCCAUGCAACCCAAAUGGACCAUGCCGGGUCGGGUCAAGUAUUUACCAGAAAUAGUUAUGGACUUAGACACCUUAUCCAACAGUCUCCCACUUGGAUAAGUCUAAUAACUAUAACUGCAAUACUUCAGGAACCGAUCGGCAAUCGUAGCUCUUUCAAGGUCUCUCGGAACUGAGAAGAUGUUGAUACGCCAUUUAAGAUAAGUGAUCAUAUAAUCCUCUGUUCUAGAUAUCAGCCGGACAAAUACAUGGAACAAUGUCUUACUUAUUGUCCAGCAGUUUGUUUCCCGAUUUCCGAUUUGUUUGACAAAGAACUUAAUUGAACACAUCAACUUAGUUCUGACCGGGCCCGGUACAUAGGUCAAAACAAAAUCAUCGAGGGGCCCAGAUAUCAGCUUCUAAUCCAAGAAGGAACAGAUAAACUUCGACUCAUAUGUUUGUUCUACCACUCAUUGAAUUACACACAAAAGCACGUUUUAUAACAUCGAGUUACCAAUGCGUUUUCGUACAAUCAAUGCAUAACCAACUCGUAAGUAACAAAUCAUAUCUCUAGGUUUGAAGACUUAUAUGAUAUUACCGUCUCACGAUCACUCGAGAUAAAAUUCCAUGAAGUGAUUCCAGUGAGCGUGGGUUGAUUCCAAUACUCAGAACUUAUGAGCACUCAUGAAGUGUUGUCUUAUAUCCUGACACCUACAACCAACUUCAUGACAGUCUUACUUCAUAUCUACUUCCAACAUAUGACUGACUGUGGAAAGUUUGAAUAAUAUGUGAAACCACAACAUACUAUUCUGGAAGUCAAAACAUGCAAAAGAAAUUAUAGUAAACGAUUGACAAAAGAUAGUAACACUUUACUCAUAAAUAAACACAACUUUUAUUCAUCAUCAAAUGUCAAUUACACUUUAAAAAUUUCAUAAUUUAUCUAACUACUAAAACUUAUAUCAUCCUUCAGACCUAUGCUCCGAGCAUGCUGGAGAUGCUUAACCCUACUCAGUCCCUUCGUGAGGGGAUCUGCUGGGUUCUCAUCCGAUGAUCCCCUCUUUGCCACGAGGAUUCCUUCUUCUAUGUGAUGUCUGAUAAAAUGAUAUUUUCUAUCGAUGUGUUUGGAUCUUCCGUGAUCCCUUGGUUCGUUCGCUAAGGCAACAACACUUUCACUAUCACAGAAAAUUUCCAUGGGCUCCUUUAUAGCUGGUACAAAGCCAAGGUCUCCAAUGAAGUUCCUUAGCCAUAUUGCCUCCUUUGCUCCCUUGCUCGCUGCUAUAUACUCUGAUUCACAAGUGGAAUCAGCCACUGUCUCCUGGUUUGAACUCUUCCAAGUGAUUGCUCCUCUAUUUAAGGUAAAGACCCAGCCCGACUGAGAGCGGAAAUUAUCCCUAUCAGUCUGGAAGCUGGAAUCACUAUACCCUAAAACUCUCAAGUCAUCACUCCCACCGAGGGUAAGGACCCAGUCCUUAGUCCUCCGUAGGUACUUGAGGAUAUUCUUUACCGCAGUCCAGUGAGCCUUGCCAGGGUUCCCCUGAUACCUGCUAACCAUGCUCAAGGCAAAGGCUACAUCAGGUCGAGUACACGUCAUAGCAUACAUGAUCGAGCCUACUGCCGAAGCAUAAGGUACUUGACUCAUUUCUGCUAUCUCAGCCUCGGUACUUGGGCUUUGUGUCUUACUCAAUCUGGAGUUACUCUGGAUGGGUAACUCUCCUUUCUUGGAGUUCUGCAUGCUAAAUCUCUUCAACACCUUGUCCAAGUAUGUACUUUGACUAAGUCCAAUUAGUCUUUUACUCCGGUUUCUCAAAAUCCUUAUCCCUAGAAUAUAGGCAGCUUCUUCUAGGUCCUUCAUAUAGAAACAGUUCCCAAGCCAGACUUAACUUCCUGCAGAGUUGGGAUGUCAUUUCCUAUGAGUAGUAUGUCAUCCACAUACAAUACCAAAAAGCUAACUAUACUCCCACUAGCCUUGACAUAAACACAAGAUUCAUCUUCACUCCUAGAAAAGCCAAAUUCCUUGACCUUUUCAUCAAAGCAAAGAUUCCAUCUGCGAGGUGCUUGCUUCAAUCCAUAAAUGGAUUUCUCAAGCUUACACACUAUAAUAGGGUAUUCAUUGCUGACAAAACCUUCUGGCUGACUCAUGUAAACAUAUUCAGUCAACUUUCCAUUAAGGAAAGCGGUUUUGACAUCCAUUUGCCAAAUUUCAUAGUCAUGAAAUGCAGCUAUGGCUAACAUAACCCUAAUAGACUUAAUUUUGCUACUGGAGAAAAGGUCUCAUCAUAGUCCACUCCAGGAAUUUGAGAGAAGCCCUUUGCAACCAAUCGAGCCUUAUAAGUGUGUACAUUACCAUCCAUGUUUGUCUUCUUCUUGAAGAUCCAUUUGCACCCUACAGUCUUACGACCUGGUACAUUCUCAACCAAGUUCCAAACUUGAUUGUCAUACAUGGAUUGUAUCUCUCUAUCCAUAGCCUCUUUCCAUUUAGCAAACUCAGGGCCUGGCAUGGCUUCCGUGUAGUUGUUAGGUUCAUCCAGACCUACUAGUGUCUCAUCACUAAUAAGUGUCUCACCUUCCGCAGUUAUAUGGAAACCAUAGUAAUGCUCUGGUACAUUCCUAACUCUCGUGGAACGCCUCAGAGGUACAGACUCGUCAAUUGGCUCAACAGGACUUUCCACCUCAAGUUCAGGGCUACGGUUUGAAGUUCUUUCACCACUUGACUCUUGAAGUUCUUCAAGGUCAAUUUGCCUCCCACUGUCUCCUUGGCUUAUAAAUUCACUCUCUCGAAAGACUCCUCUUCUUGCUACAAAGACCACAUUAUCACUAGGUCUGUAGAAGAGGUAACCAAAGGAUCUUUGUGGGUAGCCGAUGAAAAUACACCUCUCGCUUCGGGGUUCUAGCUUAUCAUGAGACUCGCGCCUCACAAAAGCCUCGCAACCCCAAAUCUUGAUGUGGUCUAGUUUAGGUACUUUACCAGUCCACAUCUCGUGAGGAGUUUUGGCAACUUUCUUUGUAGGGACUAGAUUAAGAAUAUGGGUGGCAGUCUCUAAGGCAUACCCCCAGAAUGAAAUUGGUAGCGAAGCUCGACUCAUCAUGGAACGAACCAUAUCCAACAAGGUUCGAUUACGCCUCUCAGCCACACCAUUCAACUGUGGUGUCCUGGGAGGUGUCAAUUGUGAGACAAUCCCACAUUCCCUAAGAUAGUCGAGGAACUCUGAACUAAGAUACUCACCACCACGAUCGGAUCGAAGCAUCUUAAUGUUCCUGCCCAAUUGAUUCUCGACUUCCUGUUUAAAUUCCUUAAACCUCUCGAAAGUCUCUGACUUAUGCUUGAUUAAGUAGACAUAUCCAUAUCUACUAUAAUCAUCAGUAAAAGUCAAAUAAUAACGAUUAGCAUCCCUUGUGGCAUGUUUGAAUGGUCCACACACAUCCGUGUGUAUAAGGUCCAACAAACCUUCACCCCUCUCACACGAACCUGUGAAGGGUGACUUUGUCAUUUUUCCAAGUAAGCAUGAUUCGCAACUAUCAUCUGACUUUAGGUCAAACGACUCCAAGACUCCAUCCUUUUGGAGUUGGCCUAUGCGUUUCUUGCUUAUAUGUCCAAGACGACAAUGCCAUAAUGAUGCUUUAUCCAAGUUAUUAUUAGUAGAAUCAAUACACAAAACAUUAUUUCCCAAGUUAUCUACAACAGAUACAGCUUCAUACACACCAUCACAAGGUAAUGCUUUAAAAUAAAAAACAUUAUUAAAGAAAGCAUUAAUCGAACCAACUUCAUUAUCAAAUGAAAAGGUGAAACCUUGUUUAUACAAUGCAUGAAAGGAAAUAAUAUUUCUUGCCAUUUCUGGCGAAUAACAACAUUUAUUCAAAUCUAAACUAAACCCACUACUUAGCGAUAAAGUAUAAACUCCAAUCUUUGUGACAGGUGAAGCUUUCCUGUUUCACAUGAUCAAGUUUAUUCUUCCUUGCUCCACAUUCUCACUUCUUCUUAGUCCCUGCAAAUCAGAACAGAUAUGAAUACCACAACCGGUAUCAAAGACCCAUGAGUUAGAAUGGGGUGUAUUAUUAGAUAAGAUAGUGUAAAUACCUGCAUGGUUGGGUUUAACUUUCCCAUCCUUCACAUCUUGCUGGUACUUUGGGCAGUUCCGCUUCCAAUGUGCCUUUUCAUGGCAAUAGAAGCAUUCAGCCUCUUUUGGGUCAAAAGAAGGAGUGAUGAAACCUUUCUUGGUCCCACUUGAAGAAGAGCCAUCAAGGGUCCUAACCUUGGUACCCUUCGAAGAACUCUUUCUCUUCUUCCCUCGUCCUUUCUCGAUUGCCAAGACAGGGGCGGAGUUGGUAGGAGUAGGAGUAGUAACAACCGCCUUACCCUUAAGACCACUUUCCGCGGUCUUUAAGAGUCCUUGAAGUUUGCUGAGAGUGACCUCUUCCUUAUUCAUGUGGUAUGUCAUGCGGAAUUGAUCAUAACAUGAAGGUAAGGAGUGCAAAAUAAUAUCUAUUGCUAGCUCCUCGGGGAAGUUCACAUUAAGCUUCAGCAAGUGGUCCAAAAAUCUUUGCAUUUUCUGCAUGUGGCCCGUGAUGGGUUCUCCAUCCUUCAUUCGGUUUGUUAUCAUAGAGGAGAUGAUUUCAUACCUCUCUUGUCAUGCACUUGAUGGUAUCUUUCCAUCAAAUCUUGGUGUAUUUCAAAUGGGUAGUAAUCCUCGUAGGAAUUUUGGAGAUCGGCUAUCAUAGUGGCCAUCAUGAUGCAUGCCACCUUGGUGGCAUCCCAUUCAUGUUCCCUAAAGUCAGCGAUCUCUUGAGGAGUAGCAACUGUCUCAUCAAUCUCCUUAAGCUCCUUAUCGAGGACAUAUUCUUUUUCCUCGUAGCGGGUAAUCAUUCGGAUGUUUCUGAUCCAUUCAUUAAAGUUGGAUCCAUCAAAAGUGACUUUCCCACACAAGUUCAUAAGAGAAAAGGAGCCAUUAGGAUUAGAGCCAGAAGCAGCAGUGUUUGCAGACAUCUGAAAAGAAGAAAAGUUUAGUUUAGAAAUAGAGAUAGUCCUUAAUAAAACACCCAAAUGUAGUAUUAAGGCUAGGACCCAAUCACAAUAUAUUAUACUUAGAAGAGGUAUGCCGUAAUCUAAGUAAUAACAUAUUUGAAAGGUAGGUGAAUGACGAUUCACCAAUUUCCACCAAAGUCGAAAUAUUAAAAUAUUUAAUUUGGUUCUUAGAAACUCCUAGAUUCUUUUGAGAUUCAAUGAACUUUUCAAAGGCAUGUUUCAAUCUCGGGUGUGCCCUCCAAGUUUUGUGACUGUGAUGCCGAGGAUCACAAAACUAUGUGUGAAGUAACCAUGCAGAUUACUUGGUACCCUUAACGUAUUACUCCUCAAUCGAUGUGCCAGUUAACCACACACCUCCAUCGAUACUAUGAUAAAUAUUAAGUCACCCUUUACCUACCUUGUAAAGUGCAAGUUAGUGUGCCAGUUAACCACACACGCUCCACUAACGACUUAGACAAAGUGUAAAGUGUAAUUUCAUGGAUUAGCACCUUAUUCACAUUUUUCCUAAAGUAACUAAGAUUGGGAAUUUAAUAAAACAUUUAGUUACUUUAUAAUAUUCAUCAUACUUUUAAUGAGAAUUUAUAAGUCCUUGUCUUACCCGUUCGGCUAACGACCCUCCACCAGUCAAGCAAGCGGUGGGUGAGAGU
rnacentral:lncRNA from 1 species